UCCUACGGGGGGCAGCAGUGAGGAAUAUUGCGCAACGGACGAAAGUCUGGCGCAGCAACGCCGCGUGGGCGAUGAAGGUCUUCGGAUCGUAAAGCCCUUUUCUAGAGGAAGAGGAAGGACGGUACUCUAGGAAUAAGUCUCGGCUAACUACGUGCCAGCAGCCGCGGUAAAACGUAGGAGACUAGCGUUAUCCGGAUUCAUUGGGCGUAAAGGGCAUGUAGGCGGUGCCUUAAGUUGGAUGUGAAAUCUCCCGGCUUAACUGGGAGGGGUCAUCCAAUACUGGGGCUCUUGAGGGCAGGAGAGGGAAGUGGAAUUCCCGGUGUAGCGGUGGAAUGCGUAGAUAUCGGGAGGAACACCAGUGGCGAAAGCGGCUUCCUGGCCUGCAUCUGACGCUAAUAUGCGAAAGCUAGGGGAGCAAACGGGAUUAGAUACCCCGGUAGG
rnacentral:rRNA from 1 species